UACGAGGGGUGCAAGCGUUGCUCGGAAUUAUUGGGCGUAAAGGGUAGGUAGGUGGUCUUAUUUGUCUUGUGUGAAAGCCUUGGGCUUAACCCAAGAAGUGCGCAAGAAACGGUAAGACUAGAGUCCCAGAGAGGCUUGUGGAAUUCCCGGUGUAGCGGUGAAAUGCGUAGAGAUCGGGAGGAACACCAGAGGCGAAGGCGGCAAGCUGGAUGGG
rnacentral:rRNA from 1 species